rfam:Triticum aestivum genome assembly, contig: Triticum_aestivum_CS42_TGACv1_scaffold_556252_7AL
UAUAUACUCCCUCCGUUCCGAAUUAUUUGUCGCGAGUAUGGAUGUAUCUAGAUGUAUUUUAGUUCUAGAUAUAUACAUUUCUGUGAAGAGUAAUUUGGAACGGAGGGAGUACGUC